GGAAAAUACUGUGUGUUGAGCACCUGUGUAGUGCGCGAAUUAAAGGCCUCAUCCUUCUGGAACUUAAAUUUUAAUGAAGCCAUGUGGGCAAUAAAUGUGUGAGAGAGAGAAUGUGACCUGAGUCCAUGGCUAUGACUCCUCCCUCAUCUUUCUGAAGCUCAACCUUGAAUGCUUACAGGACCACUGAAAAAAGAAUCUCUAGGCUCCCCCAAGAGCUCAUUUCCAUCAACAGCUCUGGAAGUGGGUCAUGUUACGUACAAAAAUAAAGACAGCAAGGAGAGCUCAGACGGUGGAACCAGACUGCUUGGGACUGAAAUCGGCAUUCGCCACUUACCAGGGCUCAAUGCUUACUAUUCUGGAGUUCAUUACUAAGCUGUCCCACAAGUGAUUCUGAUUCCCAUCUUAUUCACUCUUUCAACAAGUAUUUACUGAGAGCCUACUAUAAAUCAAGCACAGGUCAAUGCAAACCUUCUGGCUAUAAAAUACCUUUAAGUAAGAGAUCUCAUUUGGAUCAACUAAACACAUUGAAUAGAGCUACUUAACUUCCUUCCAAAUGCUGUCCUGUAACAAAUGUUCUCCAGACUGCUGCCAUGUUAACAACCUUCUAAGCAAGAACUCGUUUAAGUCUCUUCUGCCUCUUUACCAUUUUCUGGGCAAGAUUAUAUAUGAAGAGACAUAACAGCUUGGGGGUGAAGUCAAAAGAAUGCAGCCAUGUACUGAUCACAGACUGGUUGGAUUAAUGUCACAUCAUCUCUAAAAGUAGAUUUUUAUCAAUCUAAGGCUGAGCAACCCUCUACUUAUCUUGUUUCUUUAUAGUAUCUGAGCAACUAAGAAGUUUUGUAAAUACUGUCUGACAUAUGUAUAUUAUACAAUAAGAUAUUAUUAACUUUAAAAAGGAGUUAACAGGUAACUUUAAAAUGGCUAAUCAGAAUAUACAUUAAAGCCAUCAUAUG